AUUGAACGCUGGCGGCAUGCCUUACACAUGCAAGUCGAACGGCAGCGGGGACUUCGGUCCGCCGGCGAGUGGCGAACGGGUGAGUAAAGCAUCGGAACGUACCCGGAAGUGGGGGAUAACGUAGCGAAAGUUACGCUAAUACCGCAUAUUCUGUGAGAAGGAAAGAGGGGGAUCUUCGGACCUCUUGCUUUCGGAGCGGCCGAUGUCAGAUUAGCUAGUUGGUGAGGUAAGGGCUCACCAAGGCGACGAUCUGGAGCGGGUCUGAGAGGAUGAUCCGCCACACUGGAACUGAGACACGGUCCAGACUCCUACGGGAGGCAGCAGUGGGGAAUUUUGGACAAUGGGCGCAAGCCUGAUCCAGCCAUGCCGCGUGAGUGAAGAAGGCCUUCGGGUUGUAAAGCUCUUUCGGCCGGGAAGAAAUCGCAUGGGUUAAUACCCUGUGCGGAUGACGGUACCGGCAUAAGAAGCACCGGCUAACUACGUGCCAGCAGCCGCCGCGG
rnacentral:rRNA from 1 species